rnacentral:rRNA from 1 species
CCCUUAGAUGUUCUGGGCCGCACGCGUGCUACACUGAGUAAUUCAAUGGGUAAGGGAACGCUAGAGCAUUACCUAAUCUUGAAAUUUGCUCGUGAUGGGGAUCGACGGUUGCAAUUUUCCGUCGUGAACGAGGAAUACCUUGUAGGCGCAUGUCAUCAUCAUGCGCCGAAUACGUCCCUGCCCUUUGUACACACCGCCCGUCGCUCCUACCGAUUGAGUGAUCCGGUGAGGCUUUGGGAUCUGAGCGGAAAGAGCGUUUCGCUGUUUCUGCUCGGAAAACUCAGUCGAACCUUAUCAUUUAGAGGAAGGAGAAGUCGUAACA